rnacentral:rRNA from 1 species
UACCAGCACCCCGAGUGUUCUGGCCGUUUAUUGGGCCUAAAGCAUCCGUAGCCGGUUCUACAAGUCUUCCGUUAAAUCCAACUGCUUAACAGGUGGGCUGCGGAAGAUACUAUAGAGCUAGGAGGCGGGAGAGGCAAGCGGUACUCGAUGGGUAGGGGUAAAAUCCGUUGAUCCAUUGAAGACCACCAGUGGCGAAGGCGGCUUGCCAGAACGCGCUCGACGGUGAGGGAUGAAAGCUGGGGGAGCAAACCGG